rnacentral:lncRNA from 1 species
GGAGGACCUCACAGAAGAAGAGGACCCUGAGUCCUGAAUUUAAUGAACGGUUUGAGUGGGAACUCCCCCUGGAUGAGGCCCAGAGACGAAAGCUGGAUGUCUCUGUCAAGUCUAAUUCCUCCUUCAUGUCAAGAGAGCGUGAGCUGCUGGGGAAGGUGCAGCUGGACCUAGCUGAGACAGACCUUUCCCAGGGUGUAGCCCGGUAUGACCUGAUGGACAACAAGGACAAGGGCAGCUCCUAGGAGCUGGCGAGUCCCAGCCUGACUGCUCUGUCUUCCUGCCUUCGUCUCGCUCCAUCACCGCCUCAAUGUGAUGAGCCUAAAGCUAGGGUCCAAGGGCAGAGCCUGUGCCCUUCAGCCCUUUCACCUAACAGGCCCAUAUUCGGGCCUUUGCCUGACCAAAGAGAAGAACCGUAUGUUCCCUUUACUGCACGGCCUUUAUCCUUCUGGGCCCCUGGGGCGGGGACCUGAGCUGGCUGUUUCCUGCUUUGCCUGCACAUUGUUCUCCCUUCCUCCCAACUCCUCAGGGCCUUCUGUAUCUGUGCCUGGCCAGUGGCAGCACUAGCAGUGGUAUUAGCUUAUGCCAAAUACAGCUUUGGAAGGAUCUUUUUUUCUUUAACUAGAUGGUCACCUUCUUCCCUACCACACAUGGGUGGGAAGGUGGACAGGCUAACCUCUCCAGCUGUGAGCCUCUUAGACUACUGCAUGUAGCAAAUGUUCAGCAGCUCAGGCCCCCAUGUCCAGUUCUGUCCCCACUGUCCUCAACCCUGUCCUGAAAAUUCUACUGCUUUGAUGGCUGGGGCCAGUCUCUUGUCACUUUGGAAACUGAGGACGCGUGGAUUCUACUCAAGCCUCCAAGUAGUGGCAUAUCAGUCUUGGAGCUCCUAGCUGGUGAUACGGAGAGGGCUUUGGAGGACUUGGGACAGCAGGGCCAAUUUUUUUGCCCAAGUGCCUAGGCUGCUAACUCACUGACUAGAACUUAAUCUGGUACUUUACAGUUUUGCACCAACUCUGCCAAGCCACUGGAUCUUACAUUAAACAUCAU